rnacentral:rRNA from 1 species
UACGAAGGGGGCUAGCGUUGUUCGGAAUUACUGGGCGUAAAGCGCGCGCAGGCGGCUAUCCAAGUCAGUGGUGAAAGCCCGGAGCUCAACUCCGGAACUGCCAUUGAAACUGUUUAGCUUGAGUAUGGGAGAGGUGAGUGGAAUUCCUGGUGUAGCGGUGAAAUGCGUAGAUAUCAGGAGGAACACCUGUGGCGAAAGCGGCUCACUGGACCAUAACUGACGCUGAUGCACGAAAGCUAGGGGAGCAAACAGG